AAUGAACGCUGGCGGCAUGCCUUACACAUGCAAGUCGAACGGCAGCAUGACCUAGCUUGCUAGGUUGAUGGCGAGUGGCGAACGGGUGAGUAAUGCAUCGGAACGUGCCUUUUAGUGGGGGAUAACGUAGCGAAAGUUACGCUAAUACCGCAUAUUCUCUGAGGAGGAAAGCAGGGGACCUUUGGGCCUUGCGCUAGAAGAGCGGCCGAUGUCGGAUUAGCUAGUUGGUGAGGUAAAGGCUCACCAAGGCAACGAUCCGUAGCGGGUCUGAGAGGAUGAUCCGCCACACUGGGACUGAGACACGGCCCAGACUCCUACGGGAGGCAGCAGUGGGGAAUUUUGGACAAUGGGCGCAAGCCUGAUCCAGCCAUGCCGCGUGAGUGAAGAAGGCCUUCGGGUUGUAAAGCUCUUUCGGCUGGGAAGAAAUCGCACCCUCUAAUACAGGGUGUGGAUGACGGUACCAGCAUAAGAAGCACCGGCUAACUACGUG
rnacentral:rRNA from 1 species